GAGUUUAAAGAAAAGGUGCCAACAACUUUAAAUUUGUUUCCUAUCUUUUCAUGGCCUUAGAAGCAAAUUUAAACAAGAACCAAGAUAAACAUUAAAAUAGAAGGUUUAGGAUUUACACCUAAACUUUCUUAUACAUCAUAUCCAAAAUAUUCUAUAAUUUCCUCAAUAAAGUCCAUGUUAAAUUGAAACAUAGUCCUAAGUUUCUUGAGUUUGCGGCCAUAACGUAAUGGCAAUAGUCUAUUGUUACACAAAUUUUUUAAAAAAUUAGCAAAAUACAAAAAACCAAUCGAUAGUGGUAGAGCCAACUACAAUGAUCAAAUUCCAACAAACUAAUUAGCAUAAAUGCAUCUAAUUCUUUGAUAACAAAUAACUCAAGUAGCUAAUGUAAAACGCCCCUUACAAGCCCGAAGUAUGGAAGAAAAGCCUUUCUGAUGCAACCUCAAGAACGAUGUCUUGAAACCCACGAAUAGGUUUGUUUUAUAAGCCCAAGAAAGCCAAAAUCAAGUUCAAACACCAAAAAAUACCUUGACCUAUCAAUUAUAGA
rnacentral:misc_RNA from 1 species